ensembl:lncRNA
CUCCUUAGCAUGGCAGUCGAGGCUCUUUGUAAACUCAGCUAUUCUCAGACUUCAGUGCUCUCCAUGAGUCUGCCUAUGUAGUGCCCUCUGUCUAAAAGGUUCUCCCUAGCCUUCUCCACCUGGAAUCCUACUCCUUCUUCAACAUCAAAUGCCAUUUCAGCAGAGCCUUCUCUAAGACACUACAACUCAUCUCCUCCCUGUCUAAAAUUAAACCCUCUCUCCUUGAUCCUCCCAGUUACUUCUGGAACAUAGGGAAGAGGUCGGUCCUCGUGCUUACUUGUUGCAUUGUCUUUCUUCUUGCCAUGAGACUGUGAAGUCCUGGAGAUCAUGAGGAAGUUGGCUUAAUUAACACCUAACACCGUGCCCAGCCACUAGUACUUUUCAUCAUUCCAGGUUUGGAUUAAAUGUCACAUCAUCUCUUGGAGAGGCUGUCUCCAGUCUUUCCACCUUAAUGAGAUUUUCUCCCAUACCUCGCACUUUGCAUCAUAGUACCCAGGAGGUCUUUAGCUUUCAGAGAUACCCCAAGCUUAGGGUCUGACUCUCUUGUCAGUCACUGGAAUUUAGAUCCUCUCUUAGUAAUUUGUUAGCUAAGGGACCUUGGGCAAACUGUCUCAUAUCUUCAAAUUUCUGUUAUCUCAUCUGUAAAAUGAGGCUAAUGAUGGGACCUUGUAGGAGAGUCUCCCAGAUUAAAUACUAUUUGUAAUGUGCUUAGCACAAUGCCUGCUACCAAGAAUGCAUUCGAGGUGGCUACGUGUUUGGAUUUUCAUAUGUUACUCCCUUUAGAAUGUCUCCAUUGCACAGGAAGAACUGUGCUUUUGCCUUUUUCACUGUUGAUUUUUCAAGGCUUGGCAGAUUCUGACACAGAGCAGUCAAUCAGUAUUAGUGGGCUGCCCAAUGAAUGAGGAGAGAGGCGGGGCACCCUGGAGUCUCCUGUGCAGCCUGGAAGCCUCUGUUGCUGAGGGGCAGUAGCUAAGCCCCAGGACUCAGGUCAGCCUGCCCCAUCUCAACCCUUGGUCUGCCUCUCAUUGGCUUUGCAACCCAUGGCCAGUUGUUAAUCUAUGUCUUAGAUUCCAUAUCUGUACCCGUGGAUAAUAAUAACUGCCUCUUAGGGUUGCUGUAAAAAUAAUAUAUUAAAAUAGUUUUGUAUCACUAGUGUACAAUAAUAUUAAUGUAAUGGCUUGGGGAUAUGACUGUUAUGCAUUUAUUGUUAAUGACUAUUACACCACAUUUGAUAAAUAAUUGUUUUAUAUCACACGGUGCAGUAAUUCUCUCACCUUCUCUUUUUCCACUUAACUAAUAUUAUAAGGUCCUUGAGAAUAGGUGUCUGCUUCAUCCUUGUGUAUCCUAUACCUAGCUUUGGUGAUAGAUACCAUUAAUUUAUCUUUUUUUUUUCCUUUGGCUGCACCUGAGACUUAUGGAAGUUCCCAGGCUAGAGGAUGAACCCAUGUCACAGCAGUCACCAGAUGCGUAGCAGUGAUAAUGCCAGGUCCUCAACCCACUGAGCCACCAGGGAACUCCUAUCUUUAAUACAUUAUGUUUUUCAAUUUAUAACCCUCUCAACGAUCUUCAAGGUGGACAUUGCUAUCCUCUAUUUCAAGACACACAACUCUGAAGCACAAGGAGAUUAAGUGCACUGCCAAGAUCACAACAUCCCUUUAGUGGCCUGGCCAACUUUCUGAGCUCUGACAGGCCACCAUGAGGCUGCUGGAAGCUCUUUCUCUCUUCAAUCACAGGAAUGGGAGAGGGGUCCUAAGUUGGCAGUGCCAUUUGCACAUUCAGCCACCACUUCCUGCUGGAGGAAUUCUAGGGGCUCCACAGCCUGGAUCCCCAUCUCACCCAGGAGGUGAUCCAGGAAGUAAAUCAAGAUCCAUCUGCUCAUCCCCACCCUACCACAUCAGCCCUGAGUCCCAACCCAAAGCCAAGUAGCUCUGGGCUCCAACAGGCAGCUACUUCUCCCUCAUCUGCCAUCAGGUAGACCCAUCUCCCACAUGCUGGAGUCAAGUUGAUUAAAACAUUUUACCUUCUCGGAGUUCCCAUUGUAGCUCAGUGGUAACAAACGCAACUAGUAUCCAUGAAAAUUCGGGUUUGAUCCCUGGCCCUGCUCAAUGGGUUAAGGAUCCGGUGUUGCCGUGAACUGCAGCAUAGGUUGCAGAUAUGGCUCAGAUCCCUCAUUGCUGUGGCUGUGGUGUAAGCUGGCAGCUGCAGCUCCAAUUCGACCCCUAGCCUGGGAACUUCCAUGUGCCAUGGUGCGGCCCAAAAAAGACAAAAAGCAAGCAAACAAAAACAAACAAAAAACCACUUCUUCUCUGUGGGUCUGGUUCUCUUUGUAUUCUAGACCUGCCUUCAUAAAUACUCAUCCCUGAGUUUACUCUCCCCUGUGUCCUCAUAACCAGAGAGGGGUUGAGUUCAAGUCUACCACUGCCUAUUAAAUAAUCACAAGUCCCAUUUGUAGGGUGCUUCAUCAUUUAAAAAUAACCAUCCCAUUCAUUUUCAUUCCUGUGCCAGGAACUGGGUGCUGGGGCUGUGGGUGGUGAGUAAGACAUGCCCUACUCUCAAAACACACAGAACCUCUAGGGGAAAACAGAAGUAUGCAAUUACCUUAAUACUAUAGCAAUACUACAGCAAUACCAAAGCAACACUACUGCUGCUCGCCAGCUACCAUUUAUUGUUAAGCUUACUGCAUACCAGCCGCUGUACCAAACUCAUUUAAGCUUCACCAUACCCUGGGAGAUGAGGGUUGUCAGAUGUAACUAUGAACAUUACCAGAGCUGAAAAAAAAUCAAAGCUGAGUUUAUUGCUUGCCAGGCAGGGGAAAGCCUUGUCCUUAAGAAACAAGUUUAGCUGGUCUCCCACAGCAGAAAUUGAAAGGGCUGUGUGCCAAGGGCAAAAUGAUGUGAGUUCAUCACGCAAGGCAAGACUCUGAGUUCAAGUCUCUGGUCGCCUCAUGAGCUGGAUCAUUGGUUUAUAUACUCUUAUUCCUGUGGUACAAGUCACACAUCUGGGGCACUGUUAUCCAGAGGUCUGAGACAGAUGGCAUUAAAUCCCUGAGGGUAUGGAAUCACACAGCAGGUAAAUUUAUAUGUGUCUACCCUAGAUUUUCAGGUUGGUUUCCUGUCUCCCUUUCACAGAAUGGAGACAGACUCAGACAGUGAAUCAGCUUUGCAAGGUUUUAAAAUUAGUAGAAGAGCACAGAGACUUUUUUAGGACAGUGAAAAGACUCUAUAUGAUAUUAUAAUGUUGAAUAGGUUAUUCUACAUUUGAUCAAACCUACAGCACGUAUGUAUAAGACCAAAAGUGGACCUACAAUAAACAAUGGACUUUGGGGAAUUUAAAAAAUAUUAGUAGAAGAAAUAACAUUCAACCUCUAGUAUCUAAUCCCAAAUACAUUCACUCAUUCAUUCAAGAUAAAAAUAAAAGUAUGUACUGUAGAAGCACAGAGAAAGAAUUGACUCCAGUCGAGGAGAGGAGGUUUCAUAAAGGUGGCAGCACUGGAGCUGAGCCUGGGGGUACCAGGAGAAUUUCCCCAAGAGGGGAAACAGUGAGUGACAUUCCAUGCAGGGGACAGGCAGCCAGGCCUGAACACAGAAUGCUUGCAGUGUGUUAGAAAGAUUGGUGUGGUCAUUUGUCAUGGGGACUGGUGAGGUCCUGGCCAUUCUCUACUGAGAAAUGGAAAGGCUGGACCCAAUCAUAAUAAUCAUAGUUAGUAAGGGUAUAGCCCUUUGGAGUUGAGAGUGUGUUUCCACUUUCAUGGUGACAUUACAUCUCAUAGCAACAUUGUUAUUGUCCUCAUUUUGCAGAGGAGGAAACUGAGACUCAGCCAGCUGAAGAAAUUUGCCUAUUAUUACCCAGGUAGAAACUGGCAGAUGGAAAAUUGGUUUCUGAAUUCCAAGACUCAUCCUCUCCUUCCUAUCAAACUGUCUAAAUAAUCACUGUUGAGUACCUGUAGCCAGCCAGACUCUGGUGCUAGAAUUCUGGGCUACAUCUGGUACAUAAAGUCAGGUUGCUCACCUUCAGGUCAAGAAGCCAUCUCUUGUCUCAAGAAGACAAUGUGUGUCUGCCCAACAUGGAUGAAUUCCAGGGUCUCGCUGGAGGAUGGUGGCUGGCCUGGAAGUAGAAAGGAAUGGGCCGGGGGCUGACAUGGUCUCACCCACUUGGCCUUAUAGGAAAGGAAUUGAAAAGUUCCUUUUCUUCCUCUCUGCAGGACACAAUAUACAGGAUUAUCUCCCCACCUGAGAGAAGCUUCCAUGGAUUCCUGUAAGGCGGAGAGGUAGGGCCCACUUGGGACCAGGCACUUGCUUUGGGAGCGUGAGAAGAUUCUGUGUGGCUCAUGUAUGUAUAGUCUUGCUCCGUGAUCAUUGGAAAGUCACUUGACUUCUCUGAACCCCAAUUUCCUUAUCUCUAAAACCAGCAGCAGGAGAGGUGGAAUAAUGUCUACAGAGAAGCAAUACAGCUAGAGGUGAGAAGCUGGGCUGUGAGGCCUGACUGCCAGGGCCUGAAUCUCACUCUACUAGCUCUGAACCUUGGCUAACUUGCUUAACCUCGUUGCGCCUCAGUUUCCUUUAGUGUAAAAGCGGGAGAAAAAUGACACUACCUACCUCUCAGGGCCAUUGUAAGGAUUAAAUAAUAGGUGUAGGAUUCCCUUCAUGGCUCCGCAGAAACGAAUCUGAUUAGCACCCAUGAGGUUCAAUCCCUGGCCUCGCUCAGUGGGUUACGGAUCUGGUGUUAUCAUGAGCUGUGGUGUAGGUCACAGACACAGCUCAGAUCCCACGUUGCUGUGACUAUGGUGUAGGCUGGCAGCUACACCUCUGAUUCAACCCCUAUCCUGGGAACCUCCAUAUGCCU